GAUUACAAAUAUGAAGAAAGCACUAAUUGUUCUGCAGAAUAAAACUUAGUCUAAAAAUUAUGAGAAACAACCUAUUUAUAGCAAAUACUAGGAAGCCCUAAAACAUAAAACGACAAAGUUUUAAAGCGGUUUAAGAGAGUACUCGACCCUUGUGAUCAAGUAGGAGCAAUCGAGCAAAGUUGACGUCUUGGUGGAUUCUUGCUCCAGUCAUGAUGUAAUGCUUCAUCCUCUUCUCUUCCUUAUGCUCAAUGUUUGGUUGAGUGCGGAUCUGAGAAGCCUCUGAAGCGUGCAGUCGAGUGCUUGGUCGAGUAGGUUGGUGGAAGGUACUCGACCAUGUUGGUCGAGUAUGUGUUCGAGCAUGAUGUUGAGAUGGUGAUCGAGUGGUCAGUCGACUUGGUGAUCGAGUGGUCAGUCGACUUGGUGAUCGAGUGGUGCUCGACUGCGAACUCGAGUGGUUCUGUGGAGAAUCUGCUGGUGAUGCUCGAUCGCGUAAUCCACAUGGUGAUGAGAAGAUGUGGUCGAGUGAUCAGUCGAGUUGUUGAAGAAGUGGGUACUCGACCGUGCACUCCAUUUGGUGAUGAGAUGACGUGAUCGAGUGUCUUGAGGCGAUGGCUGCUGAGAGUGCUCGACUGACUGCUCGACUGACUACUCAUUAGUAGCUCCAAAUCAUCUGAAAACCACAGAAAUGUGCAACGUGCAUGCAAAGCUAUCCUAAACAUGUAAAGUGGCGACAAGCGAUGAGAAAUGGUAUGAAACAAUGACGAAAUGAUGAUAAAGUGAUGCUAAAUGGAUGCUCAAAACAAGUAAAAUAUAGACAUAUCAACUCCCCCAAACUUAGUCUUUGCUUGCCCUCAAGCAAACAAUUAAGAACAAGCUGGAGGAGAGGUUUGAAAGCGGGGACUCAGAACCAAAACAUGCAGACAAAGCAAAUGAACUCAAUGUCCAAGUUAGUAAUUGUGGAAUGCUUAGAGACCAAACUCUACUUAAAAACUUUAGCCAUAUUCAUCACAAGACAACCGAACAUUUGUUCCAAUCUACACACACCUUCAGAUCAUCAAUUCCCUUUAACAUUGAUUAAGCUCAAACCAUGAAUCAAGCAAAACAUUGUUGAAGAACUCAUUUGGUUUAAAGGACAAGGCUGAGAAACAAAGAUGGUUCCUCUGUAAAUGGUUUCAGACUUUUUCACAAUAACAGGGAACUCUCAUGAAUGUACAGAGCUUUUAGAAUGCUAAAGGUUAGAACCAACCUACGCAUACAAGAACAGACCCCAUCUACCCAAAUAACCAUAAGUAUAUCAAACUCCAUAGAUGGUCCUGUCUCUAAACCCCAAAAAUGAUCCUAAUUCUACCCUUUGCACUCAAGGCAUGUUUCAAUAAACUUUUGGAUCAACCCAUUCUUUCUUUUUGGUUUUGUUCUAAGAAGAGGUUUUUUUUUAGAGUUUCUAGCGGAUUGGGACUUUCUCUAACAACUAAGGCUCUUCUUUUCAUCUCAUGACUUAAGACAUUUCUAGGCUUUUGCCUUUCUUUUUACUUUGCACAGAGCCUAACUUCUUUUAUUUUCAAGCUUCCCAAAUCCUUUACUAGACUAACAAGAUAUUCUUUUCUGUUUCACUUCCAUCUCCUAAGAACAAUAACACUUGUCUUUCUUUCUCAUUUUCUUUCCAAACACAUUCCAAAACCCAAAGUAAAACUCCCACCUAGUCCUAUCUAGCCAAAAAGCGUGGACUAGAACUACAUGGGAUACCAUUCUUGUCGGUUCAUACCUAACACUUUCUACCAAGCUCAAUCCGGAAAUAGGCCUCACACACACACAAAUUUAUUCAGGGCUUGAAAGAAAGGUUAGGUUCAGGGUGGGGGAAACUGUUCCAAUGAUGGGAAUCAGCUACUUGGAUUAGCAAGAGUGGUAGAAGGUGAAACAAAAUCUAAGUAUGUGUAUUGGUAGCCACAAGUUCAACAACAAUGCAAAGACAUGAUAAUUAUAAGUCAAGUUCAGGUUCUAAUAGAUAGGGAAAAGAAUCACAUCAAGCAUGCUUCAAUUAAAACAAGAGAGUCAAGUUGUGAAUUCCAAAUAUGGUGCUGUCUUACUUCAAGUUCUAUCACAAGCAUUAAACAACUAACAACGAGGGCAUUGAAUUCAUUCAGUAAAUGAGCAUGCUUACAAGGUCAUAUCAUCAUCAUCCCCUAUGCAUAUGCAGCAAUCCUAUAUGAAAGCAUACUAAAACAAUCCUAAAAUGACAAUGCAAACUACAUGAACACUCUGUUUUUGUGAAAUCAUUUUCAAAAAAAAAUCAAAUUUUUAGGCUUUUUCAAUGACAUAGAUGCAUGCAGACUCAAGAGUAUGCACAAUGCAGAAAUUUGAAAAUAAGAACAAAGAAAACACAUCAGAUAUUCCCUGAGCCCUCCCCCAACCUUAAAUCACACAGUCCUCUGUGUGACCAUACUUGGAAGAGAGUACUCAAGACAAAUAAAUAAAGAAAGAAGACAUAAAAUGGUAUAAUCAGUGAGAAAUGGAGUUGUUACCUCAACUGAAGAAGGAGUUGAUGUGCUCAUCAAUGCCUGCUUUGUGUAAACUGCCAGGCCAUUGAGGAGUCUUGCUGUUGUGCUUCUGCUCCUUCUCCUUCUUGAUGCUCGACCAUGUCAUCUCAUUACCAUAUGGCUUGUGUUGGUCGAGUAUGAUGUUGAUUUUGAAAAAUUUAGAUCAAAAAUCACAUCAUACUCGACUGCAACUCUUCAUUACCAUGUGGCCUCUUGUGAUAGAGUGACAUGUUGAAAAUCCAAAAAUCUUGGAACCAAAACCCCACUCCAUACUCGAUUACACUGUACCACUGUCAUCCCAUAUGCUUCAUCGAGUAUAACCUCCAAAAUUCAAAAAUCAAGACCACUUCACUUUGCACUUGAUACUCAUUUCCUGAAAACCAAAACACUACCAAACGCAUUAAAAAUAACAAGAAAAUAAAAAUAUGUAUGUGGAUAGACAUGGGACUUCCUCCCAAGUGAGCUUGUUUUAAGUCUCUAAGCUUGACUCCUCACACUCAUUAGGCUUAGGGUGGUUUGCAGAGAGGAAACGAGGUCUCCUCUUCUUCUUCAGUAGAUGCAUCGUCAAACUCAGCAUGCUCUUCUGAUAGGUCUGCAAUUGGGUACUCAGUGGCCAUGUCCUUGAAGAAACCUUCUUUUUGAUCAGGAGGAUGGUCUUCUUCUCUAGACCAUUUCAAUGUGAAUUCACAUCCUUCUUUGCUGACCAGAGUAGUGGCUCCAUCAUUUUGGACGUCCUUGAUAUUGAGUGGCACUUGGUUGGCUUUUCCAUGGAGCUCCUUGAUUUGAUCUUUCAGCUCUUUCACAAUAUCUACUAACUCCCUUAUGGUUUUGUCCUGCCAUUUGGACCUCUCCUUGAGCUCUAACCAGCCAUCUGGCGCGGAGUUGCUAGACUCUAGCAGCUUGUCAAGAUGUUUGAUCGAGCUAGAGUUCUCCAGACUAGUUGAAGGCUUGCUCAAGUGUAUACUCGAGUCGGUUGGUUGAACAUGUGUUGAGCUUGCUUCAUAUGCUGCCUUACCCACUGUUUCUGACUCAAACAAGUCUUUUAAGACCUCUGACCCUGCUACUUCCUUGUGUGAAUCUAAUGACUUACCACAACUCAAGGUUUCAGUGAGAAGAUAUCCUGCUUCACCAUUCUUAGUCAAAGAAGUGUGUUGGUGAUCUUCCUCAGCAACCUCCUCUAGCAGUUCAUCAGCUAGGCGAUCAAUUAUCUUUACUAAGAAGGUUUGUCCUUCAAUUGUUGGCUUUCUCGUGGCGUCAUUGAUGUCAAACUUCAUUUUGAAAUCAUUUCCCAGAUUAAGAUCAAUCUUCCCAUUCUUAACAUCAAUGAUAGCUCCAGCAGUGGCUAAGAAGGGUCUUCCUAAGAUUAAAGGAUCUUUUGGUUCUACAUCCAUUUCUAGCACUAUGAAGUCUGUGGGGAUUUCAACAUUUCCAAUCUUAAUAGGCAAAUCUUCUAAUAACCCAUGCGGUAGUCUGAUAGACUCAUCAACCAGGAUCAAGGAGAUGUUGCAAGGUUUAUACUUGCUGAAACCUAGUCUCUUGGCCACAGAGAGAGGCAUGAGACUUAUAAAAGCACCUAGAUCACAUAGGCAGUUACUGAAGGCCAAAGGACCUAGAGAGCAAGGUAAGGUAAAUGAACCAGGAUCUCCCAAUUUCUUGGGAAUAAUCUUCGUUUGGAUGAUUUCACUGCACUCAUGACUCUCCAUAACCAUCCCUUGCACUUCCUUUAUUCUCUCCAUGAUCAAGUCUUUCAGAAACUUGUGGGAAUUCGGAAUAAGUGCGAGAGCAUCAACAAGAGGUAUCCUCAAUUCAACUUCUCUGAUGUUCUUGGCAAACAUAGCUCUGUACUUAUCUGCCAACGCUUUCUUGUGACGACCAGGAAAUGGAAGUGGGGGCUUGUAAGGAGGAGGAACAAAAACCUUCUUCUUGUUUUUAGCAGCAACUGGUCGAAGAGCAGUGGGUGAUGUUACUGGAAUUGGUGGUCGAGUAACAUGGUCAAGUGGAGGGUCGAGUACUUCUGUUGGCUUGUCAGCUUGAUCUUCAUUGAGACUGAAAUCCUCCCCAACUUGGUCUGCACUGUCCUCAGUGACCGGUGCGGGGCUAGGUCGAGCUUGCAGCUCUUGACCACUGCGAAGGCGAAUGGCAUUAACAUAUUCCUUCGGAUUCUGGAUUGCUUUCCCUGGGAGUUGCUCUGGAGGUUUUGGAGCAGAAGUAGAUGUAGAUUGUCCCUCUAAGUAUCGGACUUUGGAAUUCAAUGCCUCUACUUUGACAUUCAGGUCAUUGUAGCUACAGUCCAGCUUAUUGUGUAAUUCAGAUAUCUUCUUAGUAAUCUCCAUGGAGCCAGAUGCUUGUCCUUGGAGAAGCUGUUGUAGCAUUUGCUUCAUGUCAGAAUCAGGAGCAGCAGGACCUUGGUGUUGCUGAGGUGCAAACCCAGGUGGUGGUUGCUGCUGGUAGUUCCCCUGAAAUUGUUGCUUGGGAGCAAAACCUUGGUUGUAGGGAACAAAAGGUUUAUUCUGACCCUGCUGUUGUUGUGGAGGAUACACUUGAUCCUGUGGAUUAGCAACGUUGGUGCUACGGUAAGAAAGGUUGGGGUUGUUAGUCUUGAAGUUGUUAUACCCUUUGUAGCCACCUUGAUUGUUGAUGUAGCUGACCUCUUCUAACUGGUUCCCCUCCCCAUCUUGGACUUGAUACUGCUCGUCAUCAAGUAGAAAGUGCACAUGCUUCUGCUGGCCAAGGAGAAGCCUAUCCAGUUUCUCAUUAAGAGCUUUCAUCUCUUUACUAUGCUUUGCAUCCGAAUCUCCAAUACCUCUGUUAGAGCGAUCAAAAUCCUCGUUAUAAUUACCAUCGGAUUGAGCUAAGUUCUCAAUUAAUUCCCAGCCUUCUUCAACAUCCUUAUUCAAGAAAUUCCCAUUAGAAGCAGUGUCCAGCAACAUUAUGAUCUUGGGCAAAACUCCCCUGUAGAGUGUGCUUAGUAGAGAAGCCUUCUUGAAACCAUGGUGUGGACACUGUAUAGUGUAGCCUUUGAAUCUCUCCCAGGCUUCACAAAUGGAUUCAGACUGCUUUUGGGUAAAACUGGAGAUUUCAUUCCUAAGCCUUGCAGUUCUUGAAUUUGAGAAGAACUUUGUUAAGAAGGCCUUCUUGCAAUCGUCCCAAGAUGUGAUGGAGCCAGCAGGUAACGUCUUUUCCCAUUGGUGUGCUUUGUCUCCCAGUGAGAAGGGAAACAGGCGCAGCUUGAAACUGUCCUCACUAACACCGUUUAUCUUGGUUAGGCUGCAGAGCCUGUCGAAGUUAUCCAAGUGGUCUAAGGGAUCUUCCAGAGGCAGACCAUGGAACUUGUUUCCCUGAAUCAUCGAGAUGAGACCACUUUUAAUUUCGAAGUUGUUGUUUUGGACAGCAGGAGGCACAAUUCCCUGCCUCUGAUGGUGGUUUCUUGGUGCAUCUCCAACACCAAUGUUAGCAGGCAGAUUGUUGACAUCUUGUUCAUCAGCCAUUCUGAAAGGAUGGUUGUGCUCAAGGUCUACUGUGUCUCUCCUUUCUCUUAGUCCUCUGUCUAAGCGGUCGAUAUUGUCGUUGAAAAGGAGGUUCUGGUUGCCUUUUGAUCUGGUUUGCAUACAGCGGAGGUUGUACUUGGAUCAAGAAGACAACAAGAAAAACACUAAGGGGAUGUUAUUGGUUUGUGAUUUAAAUAGAGUUUUAAUGACUUUAAUUGUUAUGUAGAAUCUGUUGUUAUUUCAUCAAGAUUUUGUUAAACUCUCUUAAAAUUUGGUGUUAUUAGUUUGUGACUUGUAAAAAAUCAUUUAAAAUCCUAAUGAAUAUGGUGUUAUUGGAUUAAGAGUUUUAUAAAGUCAUUAAAAAUUUUGUGUUAUUCAACUAAAACAAAACAAUCUAUGAUUGUUAAUGACUUUAAUUAUUGUGUUAUUGGUUUAUGAUUUUGUACACUUUUCUUUACAAAUUAAAGUAAUGGAAAGUAUGAUUGAAAUAUUGAGAUUGUUUGGGAGACUUUACAAGAUUAUAGAAAACUAAUCUACAAGACUAUUGAAAACUCUUUAACAAUUCUUCUAAAUCUUUCACUUUUUCACUUUCUAUGAUUUUAUUAAAGUCAUCAAAACUCCAUUUCAAUCACAAACCAAUAACACCCCCUAAGUUAGUAGCUGAAGUGAAAAUUGAAAUAGAACUUGAUCUAAGCAAGUCUGAAAUCUCAAAUGUAACAAACAAACACCCAAAUGGCAACGGCGCCAAAUUGAUAGUAGGAUUUUAACUAAGAUCAAUUAUCCUUAAAGUACUAUCAUGUCAUUGUAGUAUUUAAGGUGUCAAUCCAAAUGGGUGUGAUGCUAGCAAUCAAGAUGCAAUCAGAUAUCACAGAGUCAAGCCAAGCAAUAACAGGUUUGAUGUUGUUAACAGUUCUAGUGAUCAUGCAUAAACAGAAAUUCUAACAAUAACAGGCAAUAUACUCGACCAACACAACUUGAAGCCAAGCACUGGGUGUGGUCGAGUGUCAGGUCGAGUAACUUAACAGAAACUGUAAACUGGGUACUCGACUGCACAGUUUGCUACCAAACUACUGGGUGUGGUCGAGUACUUCAAAUGAAACAGGCUAGAAAUGAUAAAACUAAGCAACAAGUAACAAGAUCAAGCAAUCAAAAGCGAUGUAAACAAAGAAAUCAAUUGGAAGAGAAAUUCCCGAGGAUGGGGUAAUCGAGUAGUGAAAUCUCCUUAUUAAUCUAACAGGUGGUUAACAUGCUCAACAAACUAUCCCUAGACAACAAGUUCAAUAACCAAAUCAAAGUGCUACCGCAACAGAGAUCCUCAAGCAAAGCUAGUCCCAGACUCAAUCACCAUUGACGAGAGCUAACUUAACAGGCAUUACGAAACAACAAGUCUAAGCCAAAACGCUCCAUGUAACCAAUACCUUGGUACAGAGCCACGAAUCUCUGGAAUUAGUGGUUCAGACAUUUCAUCGAACACCUUUUAGUUGCGGAAAUGUCUGGGCUCAGAUUCCAGUUGAUCAGAAAGCAAUCAGCAUUAAGAACAACUAAUCCAGAAGGGAUCUACCAAUCAAACUCAACCACCUAUCAGAUUAAAGAUUCUAAGCUACUCUAACUCAUCCUCAAGAACCCUAAUCACUACUCAAAAUUCAUAACCAAGAACACAAACCCAGAAAUACAUAAAAACUUCAUAUUAGCAAGAUCUCAACAAGAUGAACAACUUUGUAGAAGAAAUCAAAAGCAAAUACUCAAUAGAUUAAGAGAAAUCUGGAUUACAAAUAUGAAGAAAGCACUAAUUGUUCUGCAGAAUAAAACUUAGUCUAAAAAUUAUGAGAAACAACCUAUUUAUAGCAAAUACUAGGAAGCCCUAAAACACAAAACGACAAAGUUUUAAAACGGUUUAAGAGAGUACUCGACCCUUGUGAUCGAGUAGGAGCAAUCGAGCAAAGUUGACGUCUUGGUGGAUUCUUGCUCCAGUCAUGAUGUAAUGCUUCAUCCUCUUCUCUUCCUUAUGCUCAAUGUCUGGUUGAGUGCGGAUCUGAGAAGCCUCUGAAGCGUGCAGUCGAGUGCUUGGU
rnacentral:lncRNA from 1 species